AGGACGAACGCUGGCGGCGUGCUUAACACAUGCAAGUCGAACGAGGCCCUACCUUCGGGUAGGUGACCUAGUGGCGAACGGGUGAGUAACACGUGGGCAACCUACCCUCAGCUCUGGGAUAACCCCGGGAAACCGGAGCUAAUACCGGAUAUGACCUUGAGUGACAUCGCUCUUGGUGGAAAGUUUUUCGGCUGAGGAUGGGCCCGCGGCCUAUCAGCUUGUUGGUGGGGUAAUGGCCCACCAAGGCGACGACGGGUAGCCGGCCUGAGAGGGCGAACGGCCACACUGGGACUGAGACACGGCCCAGACUCCUACGGGAGGCAGCAGUGGGGAAUAUUGCGCAAUGGGCGAAAGCCUGACGCAGCGACGCCGCGUGAGGGAUGAAGGCCUUCGGGUUGUAAACCUCUUUCAGCAGGGACGAAGCGAAAGUGACGGUACCUGCAGAAGAGCACCGGCCAACUACGUGCCAGCAGCCGC
rnacentral:rRNA from 1 species